CAUCUUUUAGGGAGAUGGAUGCAUCUAGAUCCCUGUGAAGGAGUAUAUGAUCAACCAUUGUUGUAUGAAAUGGGGUGGAACAAGAAAUUAAAUUAUGUCAUUGCUUUUUCUAUAGAUGGAGUUCGUGAUGUCACUAAAUACUACACGAGGAAAUGGAUUGAGGUAUUAAGUAACCACGA